CGUGCGCAUGAAGCCUGCCGGAUCGACAUCGUCGAGUUUUGUCGACAACUCCUCCAGCGUAUCGGCCUGAACCUUCGUCACCUGCCGGAUCCGGUAUUCAUCGCGCAGCAGAUGCGCGACUUUCUGGUCGAAAAUCUGCCAGGCGAACUGACCCGGCUGAUCGAGGAUCACGCGGCCGUAUUUCGCGUAGGUGUAGUUGCGGAAAUCCGCGCCCUCGUCGACGAAACGCUCGCCCUUCGCAUUGACCAUGAUGCCGAACGGAUAGGAGUGCUUCUGGAAGCCAU
rnacentral:misc_RNA from 1 species